GCCGUGCUGAGAGAGAUGAGCGGCUUGUUGGCUGAGCAGAGGGUGGAGCUGAGGCACCUACAGCGAGAGAAUGACGCACAAGCAGCAAAGCUGACGGAGCUGGAGAAAUUGCCGAGGGAGCUGGAGAUAUUGAACCAACAGGACAAAGCACAAGCAGCAAAGCUGAGGGAGCUGGAGAAGUUGCCGAGGGAGCUGGAGAAAUUG